rnacentral:rRNA from 1 species
GAUUAACGCUGGCGGCGUGCCUAACACAUGCAAGUCGAGCGGCAGCGAGUUUUACACUGAAUUCUGGAAACUUCUGGUAUAAAUAGAAGAGUUAUUCAAGAAUUUUGUGUAAAAUGUCGGCGAGUGGCGGACGGCUGAGUAACGCGUGGGAAUGUACCCCAAAGUGAGGGAUAACGCACCGAAAGGUGUGCUAAUACCGCAUAUGAUCUUCGGAUUAAAGCCUUCGGGCGCUUUGGGAACAGCCUGCGUCAGAUUAGAUAGUUGGUGAGGUAAUGGCUCACCAAGUCGACGAUCUGUAACUGGUUUGAGAGGAUGAUCAGUCAGACUGGAACUGAGACACGGUCCAGACUCCUACGGGAGGCAGCAGUGAGGAAUCUUCCACAAUGGGCGAAAGCCUGAUGGAGCAACGCCGCGUGCAGGAUGAAGGCCUUCGGGUUGUAAACUGCUUUUAUAAGUGAGGAUUAUGACAGUAACUUAUGAAUAAGGAUCGGCUAACUACGUGCCAGCAGCCGCGGUCAUACGUAGGAUCCGAGCGUUAUCCGGAGUGACUGGGCGUAAAGAGUUGCGUAGGUGGUUUAAUAGCGAAUAGUGAAAUCUGGUGGCUCACCAUUCAGACUAUUAUUCGAAACUGUGAACUCGAGAGCAAAAGAGGUAGCUGGAAUUUUUAGGGUAGGAGUGAAAUCCGUAGAUAUAGAAAGGACCACCGAUGGCGUAGGCAGGCUACUGGGCUGUUUCUGACACUGAGGCACGAAAGCGUGGGGAGCGAACCGGAUUAGAUACCCGGGUAGUCCACGCCGUAAACGAUGGAUACUAGCUGUUGGGGUAUCGACCCCCUGAGUAGCGAAGCUAACGCGUUAAGUAUCCCGCCUGUGGAGUACGAUCGCAAGAUUAAAACAUAAAGGAAUUGACGGGGACCCGCACAAGCGGUGGAUCAUGUUCUUUAAUUCGAUGAUAACCGAUAAACCUUACCAGGUCUUGACAUCCUUGGAAUCUUUCAGAAAUGAGAGAGUGCUUUUUAAGAGCCAAGUGACAGGUGAUGCAUGGCCGUCGUCAGCUCGUGUCGUGAGAUGUUUGGUUAAGUCCAUCAACGAGCGCAACCCUUGUGAAUAGUUGUAUUUUUCUAUUCAGACUGCCCCGGCAACGGGGAGGAAGGAGGGGAUGACGUCAGGUCAGUAUUUCCCUUACGUCCUGGGCUAGAAACGUGAUACAAUGGCUAGUACAAUGCGCAGCGAAGCCGCGAGGUGAAGCAAAUCGCAUCAAAGCUAGUCCCAGUUCGGAUUGUAGGCUGAAACUCGCCUGCAUGAAGUCGGAAUCGCUAGUAAUCGCAGAUCAGCAUGCUGCGGUGAAUACGUUCCCGGGUCU